AACGAACGCUGGCGGCAGGCCUAACACAUGCAAGUCGAGCGAAGCCUUCGGGCUUAGCGGCGGACGGGUGAGUAACGCGUGGGAACGUGCCCUUUGGUACGGAAUAGCCCCGGGAAACUGGGAGUAAUACCGUAUGUGGUCGAGAGACGAAAGAUUUAUCGCCAAAGGAUCGGCCCGCGUUGAAUUAGGUAGUUGGUGGGGUAAUGGCCUACCAAGCCGACGAUCCAUAGCUGGUUUGAGAGGAUGAUCAGCCACACUGGGACUGAGACACGGCCCAGACUCCUACGGGAGGCAGCAGUGGGGAAUCUUAGACAAUGGGGGAAACCCUGAUCUAGCCAUGCCGCGUGAUCGAUGAAGGCCUUAGGGUUGUAAUGAUCUUUCAGUGGGGAAGAUAAUGACUGUACCCACAGAAGAAGCCCCGGCUAACUCCGUGCCAGCAGCCGCCGUAACAC
rnacentral:rRNA from 1 species